GGAAUUCGUGGUGUAGCGGUGAAAUGCUUAGAUAUCACGAAGAACUCCGAUUGCGAAGGCAGCUCACUGGACUGCAACUGACACUGAUGCUCGAAAGUGUGGGUAUCAAACAGGAUUAGAUACCCUGGUAGUCCACACAGUAAACGAUGAAUACUCGCUGUUUGCAAGCGGCCAAGCGAAAGCAUUAAGUAUUCCACCUGGGGAGUACGCCGGCAACGGUGAAACUCAAAGGAAUUGACGGGGGCCCGCACAAGCGGAGGAACAUGUGGUUUAAUUCGAUGAUACGCGAGGAACCUUACCCGGGCUUAAAUUGAAGGUGCUGCAUGGUUGUCGUCAGCUCGUGCCGUGAGGUGUCGGCUUAAGUGCCAUAACGAGCGCAACCCUUAUCUUUAGUUACGACUCUAGAGAGACUGCCGUCGUAAGAUGGAGGAAGGUGGGGAUGACGUCAAAUCAGCACGGCCCUUACGUCCGGGGCUACACACGUGUUACAAUGGGGGGUACAGAAGGCAGCUACCUGGUGACAGGAUGCUAAUCCCAAAAGCCUCUCUCAGUUCGGAUCGAAGUCUGCAACCCGACUUCGUGAAGCUGGAUUCGCUAGUAAUCGCGCAUCAGCAUGGCGCGGUGAA
rnacentral:rRNA from 1 species